AGCUCGUAGUUGAAUUUCGGGGUUCUACCGUCGGUCGGGCUACCAAGUCUGUACUGGUGUGUAGAAUUUCUACCUUCUGGAGAACCAUCAUGUUAUUAAUUUAGCGUGGUGGGAAACCAGGACCUUUACCUUGAAAAAAUUAGAGUGUUCAAAGCAGGCUUAUGUCUGAAUACAUUAGCAUGGAAUAAUAGAAUAGGACGGUGGUCCUGUUUUGUUGGUUUCUGAAUCACCGUAAUGAUUAAUAGGGAUAGUUGGG
rnacentral:rRNA from 1 species